UAUAAUGGACUCCUUUCAUUCAACCAACCUCUUCAAGAAGAUCCUUACACUUUUCCAUCUUUUGGAAGUCCUUAUGGAAGUCAAGAUGUAAUUGCUCCUCUCUGGGCUGACUUUGAUGAAUAUGGAAUUAUUGCGUUUUACUAUCAGCAGUACACAUCUGGAAAUGUCCUCACACGAGCCACAGAAGAUAUCAGACGCUAUUACCCUGGUCUGAGCUUCAACGCUACUUGGGUCUUUGUAGCAACUUGGGACUAUGUUGAAACUACAGAUUUAAACACAUUUUUACAGCAUUCAGCCCCAUCAAUCUCGUUUCAAGCGGUUUUAAUUUCGGAUGGUGUCUCCUCCUUUACUCUGAUGAACUAUGGCAACAUGAGUGUGAUCAAUUAUCCAGUGGAGGCUGGAUAUGACACAAUAGGCUCCACACAUUACUUUGUCAUUCCUGGGUCAAACAAUGGCAACCUCAUCCCAAACCUCAAGUACUGUAUUCAAGUAAUGUAAACACUCCA